UUAAAUUGAAGAGUUUGAUCAUGGCUCAGAUUGAACGCUGGCGGCAGGCCUAACACAUGCAAGUCGAGCGGCAGCGGGGGGAAGCUUGCUUCCCCGCCGGCGAGCGGCGGACGGGUGAGUAAUGUCUGGGGAUCUGCCUGAUGGAGGGGGAUAACUACUGGAAACGGUAGCUAAUACCGCAUAACGUCGCAAGACCAAAGUGGGGGACCUUCGGGCCUCACGCCAUCGGAUGAACCCAGAUGGGAUUAGCUAGUAGGUGAGGUAACGGCUCACCUAGGCGACGAUCCCUAGCUGGUCUGAGAGGAUGACCAGCCACACUGGAACUGAGACACGGUCCAGACUCCUACGGGAGGCAGCAGUGGGGAAUAUUGCACAAUGGGGG
rnacentral:rRNA from 1 species